UACUAAUCCAGCUGUGUUUACCUACUAUUUAGGAAUCAGAAUGAAAAUUUGAGGCUUUAGAGCAAGAUGGACCUGGGUUUAAAUUUGAGCUCAGCACCUUACUAAAUCUGUGUGACCUCAAACACAUUGCUUCAUUUCUCUGAGUUCAUCUACCACACAAAGGAAAAGUAACUUCUUACUAUUUGAGGUUGUAUAAAUAUUAAAUAAUUUAUAUAGAGCACAGAGUAUAAUAUCUUAACAUGGUCAGUACUCAAUAUGAUAAGUAGGGAAUUAAUAUGACAGCUAGAUUAAUACUACUGUGAAUAGUACUGCUACUACAACUACAUCUAGUAUGGAUGGGUACCUCUUCUAUCACCUCAAAAGAAAAUUAAUCUGAACACAUCAAAAGGAAAGACUGUUGCUACUCAGCUAGUUUGAGUUUCUAUUCACUGCCUUCUUCCAGCCGCUAGACUGGAUUCUUUAUAUAUGCUACAUAAUUUCUUCCAGUUUUCCUAUGAGAUUUAGGAACAUCCUGAACUUGGAAAUGGAUACUCCUUUGGGAUGCCCCUAUAUCAGCUUUAGCUGAGACCACCAGAUUUGUCUGCAUGGGAAACACUACUGUUACUCUGAUAGGCAUCAAGUUGGAUCCCUGAAGCUUCUCCAAGAUGUUUUCAAGCCACUAGGAAGUGUUUUUGCCAUCACCACAAAGAGGAGGAUGUGAGUAGACCAAGAUGCCCUGGGAUGUAAGGAAGGAGAGGCUGUCCUGUCAGGGAGGUCUAUUGUGAAAUGAAACUAAAGUAUGAUACUUUAGCUAGUUGUGAAUUAAAUGGCGUUUAUGAUCUAGCCUGAGCCCCAUUCAAAAUUCGUCAUAUUAUUUUAUAGGAAACAUAUUAAGUAAACUUUUGGUUGGAGAUAAAUUACAAUAUUUUUUUCUUUCUUUUUUUUAACAAGUGGCUGCACCUGUGGCAUAUGGAAGUUCCUGACCAGGAGUCGAGCCACAGCCAUUGUAGAAGCAACACCGAGUAGU
rnacentral:lncRNA from 1 species